GUCACAACAACCUGUCCCCAGCCAGACUGCGAGGGGGCGAGGUGGGGAACAGCGCCCCCUCGAACAACCUGCCUCUUGACAUUCAAUAGCUUCCCAGCCCCCUCUCCCAAGGGCUUUGUGGCUCCAACAAGGCCUGACAGCCUUUCUGUGGCUCCCACCCAAAUCAGCCCAUCACGCCACCAGGUUCUUAUUCCAUCUCUAUUAUUGCGGUAUCUGGGUGCCUUCCAAUGAUGCACUGAGUAACAUGGCUAGCCUUCCGUGUAGUUCCUUCUCCAAGGAUCCAGGAGCGGGAAAGAGGCACAGAGCAAUGGAGUAACUUGCCCCAGGUCACACAGCAGAUCCAUGGUAGAGGACAGAACAGAACCUGUGUCUUCUGGCUAUCAGGAGGGCCUGCCAAUUAAAAUCCAGCAAAUCGUAUCACGUCACGUGAGGUGUGCCACCUAACCUAACAAGGAGGACUCAGCACGAGCUGGGAUUUGCCCAGACUCUGCUUCGAGGUAUCAGAGGAGCCAACCCCCGUGGGAAUUCAGUGCCACGGGUGACUCUGCAAUUCCAUCGGCUCCCUGUUGGCUACCAACCUGGGA